GCCGGGGUGGUGGAAUUGGUAGACACACCAGCUUGAGGGGCUGGCGGCCUUCAUUGGCUGUGCAAGUUCAAGUCUUGUCCUCGGCA
rnacentral:tRNA from 1 species